UAGGAAGGAGCAGUUCGUGUUAUUUUAGCUGCCACUAAAGAGUCCAAGAACGCUCAGGUUCCCCUCCCCCAACUUUAUUUUCAUCAACAUCAUAAACAGAACUGCAAAAAAGUCCACAAAUGGAAGAAAAAGAGACAAACAGGUAGAAGAAAAAGCAAACAAGAGAACAAACAAAGCACUAUACUAAACAAGAUUAUAUGUAAUAAUGCCAGGGUGGCAAUUAAAUGCAUCUCAAUUCUUUUUCUUAGCUGCUUAUCCAUUUCAGAGGAUUAGUGGGGAGGAAGUGAAGGUAGCUAGGAAGAUGAUGAAGAGUAGAAAUGCAACUGAAUGCGUGCAGAAGUGUGGAGAUGUCUAGGAGAGAGGGACUUUUUAACCAGAAGACGUGUACUGGGGCCAAUUUUUAAAGAACAAGGUUGAUGUGCAGAGUUGUAGCAACACUUAAGCCACGAAGCUGUGGGAAAAGGUGUUAAAGUUAGGUUUAGGAAAGACACAUUGGCAUUAGCGAUGCCAAGAAAGGGCAUAUACAGAUGUAAUGUUUGUUUUGAGAUUUUUGAUGGAGAAGUAUAGCUCAGGAGCUGCAGUGUGUCUUUGUGGGUCUAGAGAAAGCGUAUGAUCAGGUACCAAGAGUGGAGGGGCAGAGAAGCACGCGAGGGUGAUGCAGGGUAUGUAUGACGAUAGCAAGACAGUGGUGAGGUGUGCAGCUGGAGUGACAGAUGGCUUCAAGGUGGGGGUGGGAUUACAUCAUGGAUCAGCAUUGAGGCCCUAAUUAUUUGCAGUGAUGGUAGACAGAUAAGGCCAAAAUAGAGUCUCUGUGGACUCUGAUGUCUGCAGAUGACUUUGUGAUCUGUAGUGAGAGUAGAGAGUAGGUGGAAGAGGUAUGCUCUGGAGAGAAGAGGAAUGAAAGUCAGUAGAAGCAAGAAAUAAUACGUGUGUAUGAGAGGGAGACAGGUUUAACACUGGAGCUACAAAGAGCAGAGGUAGUGAAGGCGGACGAGUUUAAAUACCUGGAGUCAACCAUCCAACGCAAAAGAUGGGGCACAAGAGAGGUGAAGUUGAGAGUGCAGAAAACCCGGAGUGGGUAGAGAUGAGUGUCAGGGGUGAUUUGUGACAGAAGCAGAGCAGUCGAAAGAAGAAAAAGAUUCAAUAAGGACAAUGGCUUUAUGUCUUAUUUUUACAUUACAUUAGGAGGUGCUAUAUUGUUUAAACGCAUCAACAAAUCCUUUAUGUGGUUCCUGAUUGUGGAUUUUUACAAAAGUAUUAAAUAAUUACUUUUCUUUCUUAGCUGUUUAUCCAUUUCAGGGUCAUGGUGGGGUUUGAACAUAGCACAGCUGGCGCGGUGUGAGAGGCAGGGUACACCAGCCCAUCACAGGGCUAACACACAACCAUUCACACCUGCAGCCACUUCAGAAUCACCAGUUAUCUUAACCCCAUGCAUGUCUUAGGACUAUGGGAGGAAGCUGGAGUAUCCAGAAGGAACCCAAACAGUCACAGGGAAAAAGUCCCUACCUGGCCAGUGGUUUUAAACAGAGGACCUUCCUGCUAUGAAGGGCAGUAACUAAGCAAAAUCGCCAACAACACAAACACAAAGAGAAGCCCACGGAUCACACAUUUUUGGCCAUGAACCCUGGACGGAGUAAACAGCUACAGCAGGGGAGACAACAGUUUUCAAAGCCUAUCAACACACACGACCAUAUCGGCCCUCUACCAGGACUGAUGGGUGCUGUCACAGUGGCUUCAUCCAUCCUUUAUGCUUCUCCAGCUGUAAAAAUGCUUUAUUAUUUUGAGUGGUAAUAAAAACAGUGUCUCACACAAAUGAUAGCAGUGGACUGAACUACCAGCUUUGAAAACUUUAACUUGAUUGUUUUUGAUAAAUAGUUGUAUUCACGGAGUUCCACUGAGGGGGACCUUUUUCCAUAAAAAGGGAAUCUCCCUUUUCACUCCUGUAAUUUCUCCCUAUGUA